rfam:Prevotella sp. CAG:755 genomic scaffold, scf8
AAUUUUGUCGGCGAAGGCGGUCCGGACGUUGCUGUCCGGCCAAGAGGGAACGCCGUGAGAGCCGGCGACAGUACCCGCUGCUGUGAGUCCCGUUGUACGUCGAAACAAGACAGCCACUGCCGGCACCGCGGGCCGGUGGGAAGGCGUUUCGGAGCGUGGGACGAGUCAGAAGACCUGCCGCCGAGAUGAGUCGCUG